CGCCAGACUCCUACGGGAGGCAGCAGUGGGGGAUAUUGCACAAUGGGGGAAACCCUGAUGCAGCGACGCCGCGUGGGUGAAGAAGCGCUCGGCGCGUAAAGCCCUGUCAGCAGGGAAGAAAAUGACGGUACCUGAAGAAGAAGCCCCGGCUAACUACGUGCCAGCAGCCGCGGUAAUACGUAGGGGGCAAGCGUUAUCCGGAUUUACUGGGUGUAAAGGGGGCGCAGACGGCGAUGCAAGCCAGGAGUGAAAGCCCGGGGCCCAACCCCGGGACUGCUCUUGGAACUGCGUGGCUGGAGUGCAGGAGGGGCAGGCGGAAUUCCUGGUGUAGCGGUGAAAUGCGUAGAUAUCAGGAGGAACACCGGUGGCGAAGGCGGCCUGCUGGACUGCAACUGACGUUGAGGCCCGAAAGCGUGGGGAGCAAACAGGAUUAGAUACCCCUGUAC
rnacentral:rRNA from 1 species